UGUCGGGGUAACGGCCCAACAAGCCAGUAAUCGGUACGGGUUGUGGGAGCAAGAGCCCGGAGUUGGAUUCUGAGACACGAAUCCAGGCCCUACGGGGCGCAGCAGGCGCGAAAACUUUACAAUGCGGGCAACCGUGAUAAGGGAACCUCGAGUGCCUGUAUAUGCAGGCUGUCUGGGUGUCUAAAACACACCUAAAGAAAGGGCCGGGCAAGACCGGUGCCAGCCGCCGCGGUAAUACCGGCGGCUCGGGUGGUGGCCACUUUUAUUGGGCUUAAAGCGUUCGUAGCUGGGUUAUUAAGUCCCUUGGGAAAUCCGACGGCUUAACCGUCGGGCGUCUAAGGGAUACUGGUAAUCUUGGAACCGGGAGAGGUGAGGGGUACUUCGGGGGUAGGAGUGAAAUCCUGUAAUCCUCGAGGGACCACCUGUGGCGAAGGCGCCUCACCAGAACGGCUUCGACAGUGAGGGACGAAAGCUGGGGGAGCAAACCGGAUUAGAU
rnacentral:rRNA from 1 species